rnacentral:rRNA from 1 species
GAUGAACGCUGGCGGCGUGCCUAAUACAUGCAAGUCGAACGAACGGACGAUAAGCUUGCUUCUCUUAUGUUAGCGGCUGACGGGUGAGUAACACGUAGAUAACCUACCUAUAAUACUGGGAUAACUUCGUGAAACCACAUCUAAUACCAGAUAAUAUUAUGAACCGCAUGGUUCAAAAGUGAAAGACGGUUUUGCUGUCACUUAUAGAUGGAUCCGCGUUGCAUUAGCUAGUUGGUAAGGUAACGGCUUACCAAGGCAACGAUGCAUAGCCGACCUGAGAGGGUGAUCAGCCACACUGGAACUGAGACACGGUCCAGACUCCUACGGGAGGCAGCAGUAGGGAAUAUUCCGCAAUGGGCGAAAGCCUGACGGAGCAACGCCGCGUGAGUGAUGAAGGUCUUCGGAUCGUAAAACUCUGUUAUUAGGGAAGAACAUAUGUGUAAGUAACUGUGCACAUCUUGACGGUACCUAAUCAGAAAGCCACGGCUAACUACGUG